rnacentral:rRNA from 1 species
CGGACGGGUGAGUAACGCGUAAGAAUCUAACUUCAGGACGGGGACAACAGUUGGAAACGACUGCUAAUACCCGAUGUGCCGAAAGGUGAAACCUAAUUGGCCUGAAGAAGAGCUUGCGUCUGAUUAGCUAGUUGGUGGGGUAAAGGCCUACCAAGGCGACGAUCAGUAGCUGGUCUGAGAGGAUGAGCAGCCACACUGGGACUGAGACACGGCCCAGACUCCUACGGGAGGCAGCAGUGGGGAAUUUUCCGCAAUGGGCGAAAGCCUGACGGAGCAACGCCGCGUGAGGGAGGAAGGUCUUUGGAUUGUAAACCUCUUUUCUCAAGGAAGAAGUUCUGACGGUACUUGAGGAAUCAGCCUCGGCUAACUCCGUGCCAGCAGCCGCGGUAAUACGGGGGAGGCAAGCGUUAUCCGGAAUUAUUGGGCGUAAAGCGUCCGCAGGUGGUCAGCCAAGUCUGCCGUCAAAUCAGGUUGCUUAACGACCUAAAGGCGGUGGAAACUGGCAGACUAGAGAGCAGUAGGGGUAGCAGGAAUUCCCAGUGUAGCGGUGAAAUGCGUAGAGAUUGGGAAGAACAUCGGUGGCGAAAGCGUGCUACUGGGCUGUAUCUGACACUCAGGGACGAAAGCUAGGGGA